rnacentral:rRNA from 1 species
AUUGAACGCUGGCGGCAGGCCUAACACAUGCAAGUCGAACGAGUGGCGGACGGGUGCGUAAUGUCGGGGAAACUGCCCGAUGGAGGGGGAUAACUACUGGAAAGUGUAGAUAAUACCGCAUACCCUCGGAUGUGCCCGGAUGGGAUUGGCUAGUAGGUGGGGUAACGGCUCACCUAGGCGACGAUCCCUAGCUGGUCUGAGAGGAUGAUCAGCCACACUGGAACUGAGACACGGCCCAGACUCCUACGGGAGGCAGCAGUGGGGAAUAUUGCACAAUGGGCGCAAGCCUGAUGCAGCCAUGCCGCGUGUAUGAAGAAGGCCUUCGGGUUGUAAAGUACUUUCAGCGAGGAGGCGUUACUCGCAGAAGAAGCACCGGCUAACUCCGUGCCAGCCGCCGCGGUAAUAC